rnacentral:lncRNA from 10 species
GUGGAUCCUGAGAGCUUUCAUGCCUAAAUAAGCCUGACUGCUAAUCUCCCCCACAGAGUCUGCUGCCUGAGCAACACAACCUGUGACACAGCCAGCAGCUGUGGGAAGAGUGUAAGAUAAGGAGAACUGUUUCUAACAGGAUGGCACGGCGAGAAGGCUCUCUCACCAGAUGCCAGCCCCUCAGCCUUGGACUUCCUAACCACCAGAACUGCCUUGUAAGAGAACACUGCCUCCUUGAAGACUGCCAUAAGCCAUGAGGAAUGUCUUCUAAAUCAGAAUCAUGUCCACACAACAAAGUUUUAUUAAUAGAAAAAAAAAUCUUUCAAAAAACAAAUCAAUAGCUGGUUUGCCGAUUAACUGCCUAGAAUCCCUGAUUUCCCACAUGAGUUCAUAUUAUGAAUCCACCAGAGAAUCCUUUCAAUACAACUUUGGUCAUUGGGAGGCACGGAAACAGCAUUGCCCAGGUCCUGCCACCUUCUGGCCAUGUGACCCUGGGUGAGUCCCUCCACCUGUCCUAACUUACUGUGCCUCUUCAGGGGAAUUUCACUGGUCAUGGAAAUGGACCAGUUUACAGCGAAUCCACUUAAGACAAAUCCUAAAAUUGCACACUAAACAGAAGAUGUUCAACUGGGACUCCAACUUAAAAAUAAAACCAAAAUCUUUUAAAAUAAGUUAUUUCUGUAUUAUUUUAGGGUAUUUUAAGUCUAUGCUAAUUCUACAAAGCAACAAGCAAUAAUUGAAGUAUGGUCAGUAUUUUUGGCAUACAUUUUCCUAAAAAAAAAAAAAGCAAGAUUUUUCUUUUUUUUCAUAUUUGACUUUCACAGAUGGUCAAUAACAGGGUCAUCUUUUAAAAAAUAUUUAAGAGUAAUAAAAAUUUCUCUAAAGUCCUCUCAUAAUCCUUCGGGUAAACAUUUACCUUGAAAGAGCUUAUUGUGUUUAAUCCUCAGUGCUUCUCUCUUCUUCAAUUGUUAACUGAAUAUUCAGACAGAUCCUUAUUUGCUUAUAAUUCAAGUAUGUUUUUAACACAGCUUUCAACAACUUCAUGAAAUCAUCAUCUUUACUAUAAUUGGUAAUUUUACUUCAAAACUACAGAAUUUGAUUUAUUUGAUUUAUUUUUGUUUGUAUCAUUUGAUUUAUUUGUAAAAUUUAUUUUUGUUUGUAUCAUUUGAUGUUUAUAAUAUCUAUUAAUUAUCAUAGACCAACAAAAAUAUUGAUAUGAUAGAUGGGAAAACAAGAGGGUAAGAAUUCUUGAGUGGGGAUAAUUUUAAAGUGGCCAAUUCACUAAUGAAUAUUUUCUUGUAAAGACAAUUUUUGCUCCUCUCUGCAACCUCAAAAUUACACGGCCUUGGAUAACCUCCCAUCCUCACCCGAUCUCUCCCCCUUUAGGUCUUUCCACAAAUUUCACCUCAACAAAGCCUUUUGUGAAAUUCUUAUAUAAAACUGCAAUUCAAUUCUAACCCCAUGUACACUCACUCCAUUUAUCCUUUUUCUGCUGAUUUCUUUCCAGCACUUACCAAUACCAAACAUACAGGCAUACCCCACAUAUAUUGUGGGCUUGGUUCCAAACCACCAUAAUGAAGCAAAUAGCAAAAUAAAGUCAGUCACGUGAUUUGUUUCCAGGGGAUACAGAAGUUAUGUUUACAUUAAACCAUAGUCUAUUAAGUGUGCAAUAGAAUUAUGCUUAAAAAUCAAUGUACAUAUCUUAAUUUAAAGAUACCUUAUGGCUAAACAUACUAACAAUUAUCUAAGCCUUCAGUGAGUUCUAAUCUUUUUGCUGGUGAGGGCCUUGCUUCAACGUUGACAGCUGCUGACUGAUCAGGGUGGUGGUUAUUGAAAGGUAGGGUGACACAGCAAUUUUUAAAAAUAAGACAACAAUAAAGUUUCCCUCAUUGACAGACUCUUCCUUUCAUGAAAGAUUUCUCUACAGCACCUGACACUGUUUGAUAGCAUUUUAUCCACAGUAGAACUUCUUUUAAAAUUGGAGUCACUCUUCUCAAACUCUGCCACUGUUUUAUCAACUAAGUUAAUGUAAUAUCCUAAAUCAUUUGUUGUCAUUUAAACAAUGUUCAUAGCAUGUUCACCAGGCAUAGAUUUCAUCUCAACAAACCACUGUCUUUGCUCAUCCAUAAAAAGCAACUCCUCAUCCAUUGAAGUUUUAUCAUGAGAUAGCAGCAAUUCAGUCACAUCUUCAGGCUCCACUUACAAUUUUAGUUCUCUUGCUAUUUCCACCUCAUCUUCAGUGACUUCCUCCACAGAAGCCUUGAACCCCUCAAGGUCAUCCAUGAGGGCUGGAAUCAACUUCUUCCAAACUGCUGUUAAUGUGGAUAUUUUGACCUUUUUUCAUGAAUCAUGAAUCUUCUUAAUGGAGUCUAGAAUAGUGAAUCCUUUCCAGAAGGGUUUCAAUUUACUUUUCCCAGAUCCCUCAGAGGAAUCACUACCCAUGGCAGCUAUAUCCUUAUGAAUCCAAUUCUUAUAUAAUAAAACAUGAAAGUCAAAACUACACUUUGACCUACGGGUUGCAGAAUGUAUGUUGUCUUAGCAGCCAUGAAAAUAACAUUAAUCUCCUUGUACAUCUCCAGUGGAGCUCUUGAAUAACCAGGUGUAUUGUCAAUGAGCAGUAAUAUUUUGAAAGGCAUCUUUUUUUUCUGAGCGGUAGAUCUCAACAGUGGACUUAAACUACUCAGUAAACCAUGCUAUAAACAUAUGCUGUCAUCCGUGCUUUGCUAUUACAUUUCUAGAGCACAGGCAGAGCAGAUUCAGCAUAAUUCUUAAAGGUCCUAGGAUUUUCAGAAUGGUGAAUGAGCAUUGGCUUCAACUUCAAGUCACCAGCUGCAUUAGCCCCUAACAAGAGAGUCAGUCUGUCCUUUGAAACUUUGAAGCCAGGCAUUGACUUCUCCUCUCUAACUAUGAAAAUCCUAGAUGGCAUCUUCUUCCAAUAGAAGGCUGUUUUGUCUCUAUUGAAAAUCUAUUAUUUUAUGUAGCCACCUUCAUGAUGUUACCUCGAUCUUCUGGACAAGUUGCUGCAGCUUCUGCAUCAGCACUUGCUGCUUCCCUUUGCACUUUUAUGUUAUGAAGAUUGCUUCUUCACACCUCAUAAACCAACCUCUGCCAGCUUCCAACUUUUCUUCUAUAGCUUCCUCAUCUCUUUCACACUUCAAGAAUUGAAAAGAGUUAGGGCCUUGCUCUGAAUUUGACUUUGGCUUAAGGGAAUGCUGUGACUGGCUUGAUCUUCUACCCAGACCACUCACACUUUCUUCAUGUUUUCAAUAAGGUUGUUUCACUCUCUUAUCAUUUGCAUGCUCACUAGAAUAACAUUUUUAACUGCCUUCAAGAGCUUUUCCUUUGCAUUCACAACUUGGCUGUUUGGCAAAAGUGGCCUAGCUUUCAGCCUGUCUUGGCUUUGGACAUGUCUUCCUCACUAAACUUAAUCAUAUCUAGCUUUUGAUAAAAAGUGAGAGAUGUGCAAAUUUUCCUUUUACUUGAACACUUAGAGGCCACUGUAGGGCUAUAAAUCAGCCUAAUUUCAAUAUUGUUGUGUCUCAGAGAAUAGGGGGGCCUGAGGAGAGGGACAGAGAUGAGGGAACGGCAUGCUGAUGGAGCAGUCUGAGCACGCAUGACAUUUAGUGAUUAAGUUCAUUGUCAUUCAUGGGCACAGUUCAUGGUGCUCCCAAUUAUAAUAGUAACAUCAAAGAUCCAAUGUCACAGAUUACUAUAACAGAUGUAAUGAUAAUGAAAAACUUAGAAAUAUUGCAAGAAUUACCAAAAUAUAACAGAGAUUCAAGUGAGCACAUGCUGUUAGAAAAAUGGUGCCACUAGACUUGUUCCAUGCAGGGUUGCCCAAACCUUCAACUUCUUAAAACACACACACACACACACACACACACACACACAUAUACACACUAUGCAGCCAUAAAAGAGAAUGAGUUCAUGCCUUUGCAGGGACAUGGAUGAAGCUAGAAACCAUCAUCCUCAGCAAACUAACAUAGGAACAGGAAACCAAACACUGCAUGUUCUCACUCAUAAGUGGGAGUUGAACAAUGAGAACACAGGGACACAGGGAGGGGAACAUCACACACUGGGGCCUGUUGGGGUGGUGGGGGUGGGGGGCAAGAGGAGGGAGAGCAUUAGGACAAAUUCCUAAUGCAUACAGGGCUUAAAACAUAGAUGAUGGGUUGAUAGGUCCAGCAAACCACCAUGGCAAAUGUAUACCUAUGUAACAAACCUUCAUAUUCUGCACAUGUAUCCCAGAACUUAAAGUAAAAUUAAAAAAAAACAUACAAAUGCAAUAUCUACAAAGAGCAAUAACAUAAAG